GGGACACUUUGCUCUGAAAGGGACCUGAGCAUCCAAAGCCACCGUUCACUUCCACCCUGGCUUUGUCUCAGAACAGGAAAGAAGAGGCCCGGCCCUGCUGUGCCACUGCAGGCUCCUUGUGUGGAGGGAAACAGCUCCAUCGGAGAACACUGCCUGGACCUCCGCCUGCCCAGGUGAUGAAGGAACAACAGUAGCCUUGGCAACCAACCCACUCUUGUGUCACUGCCUGCAUCCAGCUUGCCCUUCCAUCACCAUCUUACAUGACCCCAGGGGACAUCACUAUGACCUCACCUCUCCCCUUGGUUGGCAAGAAUAUCUUGAUACAA